rnacentral:sRNA from 1 species
AUUAUAGUACCUGACACCUAAUAGGUGUUUAGUAAAUAUUUCGAAUGAAAUUGAGUUUCUUUUCUAUUAUUCAUGCUCAUUCUUUAAGCACAGAAUAUUAGAAUUGGAAAGGGAGAACUGUCCAUUUUGAUGAGUAUCACCAGUCAAGGUGUUACCAAAAAAAGAAAUGAAAGAGAAGCACGUGCAAGCUCUUUUUUUUUUUCCAUUUUUAUUUUCCUGUCUUUGUAGGUUACCUUUUUCUUUUCCUCUUUGCCCUCUUUAGUUUUCUACCUUAUUUUUUAUUCUAUUUCUUUAUUUUCUUUUUUGAGAUGGAGCCUCUUGCUCUGUCGCCCAGGCUGGAGUGCAGUGACUUGAUCUCAGCUCACUGCAACCUCCGCCUCCUGGGUUCAGGCGAUUCUCCUGCCUCAGCCUCCUGAGUAGCUGGGAUACAGACACCCGCCACCACGCUUGUCUAAUUUUUGUACUUUUAGUAGAGAUGAGAUUUCACCGUGUUGGCCAGGCUGGUCUCGAACUCCUGACCUCAGGUGAUCUGCCUGUCUCAGCCUCCCAAAGUGCUGGGAUUACUGCACCUGGCUUUAGUUUUCUACCUUAGACAUGAAUGUUCUGGUAAUUGUCUGCUCAUAGUUGGCGCCCAGUGCUGAAGAGCCUGCUCUAGAUGGUCUAAGGCGGGAAAGAUCAGAUAGUAAAUGUUGGGCUCUGUGGACCCAUGAGGUCCUUGUCAAAACUACUUAACACUGCCUGCUCUUGGAGCAUAAUAGGUAUAGACAAAUGGGCAUGCCUGUGAUCUAAUAAAACUUUCCUUAUGGAUACUGAAGUUUGAAUUUUACAUGCUACUCAUGCUUCACGGAAUGUUUUUUGUAUGAUAUUUUUUCUUUCUAAUUAAAGAUAUAUAAACCAUUUUGGAUUCACAGACCUUACAAAUAGAGGCUGUGAGUUGGAUUUGGCCCACAGGCAGCAGUUUGCUUAUCUCUGCUUUUAUCAGGCAGUGAUAAAUAAGUAUAGCCAUAGAAUGAAAAGUAAAAGGGAGGCCUGCCUCUUCCUAAUUAUGUAGGUAGCUUUACAACUAGCAUGUCAGAAGCAUUGUGUUAAUAAUAUACUGGGUUUUGGUUUCAGGUGGCACAUUUAGAACGAACAGGGCAUUACUUAACUGUGAAAGAUAACCAGGUGGUUCAGUUGCAUCCCUCUACUGUUCUUGACCACAAACCUGAAUGGGUGCUUUAUAAUGAGUUUGUUCUAACAACAAAGAAUUACAUCCGGACAUGUACAGAUAUCAAGCCAGAAUGGUUGGUGAAAAUUGCCCCUCAAUAUUAUGACAUGAGCAAUUUCCCACAGUGUGAAGCAAAGAGACAGUUGGACCGCAUCAUUGCCAAACUUCAAUCCAAGGAAUAUUCACAGUACUGAAUUCAGUGCUUAGAACUGAAGUUAUUGAGAGGACAGCUUUAAAAGAUGAAUGAACUCAAAAGUUCGAGUUGUGCUCUUCACGUUGGUUCGAUAAUGGCCUUUAUUUGAAAGCUUUUUAAUUUUUCUUUACAGUAAAUAUUCCAUUCUGAUUUCAUAAAUUAAACAUUUAUGCCUCCCUUUUGUGUUGACACUGUAGCUCAUACUGGAAAAGUCGAUCAAUGUUUUGCAGUUUAUUGAAAGUAGUUCUAUAUAUAACAAUGUUAUAAGCAUUUCUUUAGAAAUGGUUGAAAAUGCUUCUAAAAUGUGAUUAUCGACCAUGGUAUGCAUGAUCGUUGUAAUUGUUGACAUUCCUUUUAGAAGUUGUGAAAUGUUACAACUUGUGCUUAUGUAGACACAAUCUUCUGUCUCAGUACAGAGGCACUGACUUCAAUAAAGUCUAUUUAUACU